rnacentral:rRNA from 1 species
CCUACGGGCGGCAGCAGUGGGGAAUAUUGGACAAUGGGCGAAAGCCUGAUCCAGCCAUGCCGCGUGUGUGAAGAAGGCCUUCGGGUUGUAAAGCACUUUCAGUGGGGAAGAAAGCCUUGGGGCUAAUACCCUCGAGGAAGGACAUCACCCACAGAAGAAGCACCGGCUAACUCCGUGCCACGCAGCCGCGGUAAUACGGAGGGUGCGAGCGUUAAUCGGAAUUACUGGGCGUAAAGCGCGCGUAGGCGGUCUGAUAAGCCGGUUGUGAAAGCCCCGGGCUCAACCUGGGAACGGCAUCCGGAACUGUCAGGCUAGAGUGCAGGAGAGGAGGGUAGAAUUCCCGGUGUAGCGGUGAAAUGCGUAGAGAUCGGGAGGAAUACCAGUGGCGCAGGCGGCCUUCUGGACUGACACUGACGCUGAGGUGCGAAAGCGUGGGUAGCAAACAGGAUUAGAUACCCCAGUAGUC